CUUAGCUCAUGGAACAGCACAAACAUCCCUUUGGUGUUUAAAAUACAGUAAAACACUUCCCAGAGAGGAAGAAUUUGCCUGCAGCUGAGCACUCUGCUUCUUUUCAAGGUAGCCACAAUGCUGUUGCUCCAUGAAGUGACCUCUGUUUGGUGUCACCUGAAAGAUGGGUCAAGAGCAGUUGUUAUGUGCUGAUCGCAGGGAGAUUAUUCUCUGGGGAGAGAUGUGCCCUACUCACCAGGGCCCGAGGAAUGCCUGUGUUUGUCUGUCUGGCAUUUGCUGUGGAACAUUCUUGGAAGGCACAACCAGAAGGAGCUGCCCCUCAAUGUGUGUGGCAGUGCCUCUGAUUUGGAACACACCAGACACUCUUCUCUCGGUUGUCAUCAAAACUAUCAUGUCCACUGGCAUCUUGAGGUUAAAUUGUGCUCUCUGAUGGACAAUUUUUGCCUUCUUUUGUUCCAAAUGAUGACACUGAAUUUGUACCAUUUUCCUGGAAAUAUUUCUUUGUACUUAAAGAAAAAUAAAAUCAAGACUAAAGAAGAAGUUGGUUGGCA
rnacentral:lncRNA from 1 species